UACAGAGGUCUCAAGCGUUGUUCGGAUUCAUUGGGCGUAAAGGGUGCGUAGGCGGCGCGGUAAGUCGGGUGUGAAAUCUCGGAGCUUAACUCCGAAACUGCAUUCGAUACUGCCGUGCUUGAGGACUGGAGAGGAGACUGGAAUUUACGAUGUAGCGGUGAAAUGCGUAGAUAUCGUAAGGAAGACCAGUGGCGAAGGCGGGUCUCUGGACAGUUCCGUGACGCUG
rnacentral:rRNA from 1 species